rnacentral:rRNA from 1 species
CGGGGGGAGCAAGCGUUGUUCGGAUUUACUGGGCGUAAAGGGCGCGUAGGCGGCCACCGCAAGUCGACUGUGAAAUCUCCGGGCUUAACCCGGAAAGGUCAGCCGAUACUGCGGGGCUAGAGUGCAGAAGGGGCAACUGGAAUUCUCGGUGUAGCGGUGAAAUGCGUAGAUAUCGAGAGGAACACCUGCGGCGAAGGCGGGUUGCUGGGCUGACACUGACGCUGAUGCGCGAAAGCUAGGGGAGCGAACGGGAUUAGAUACCCCGGUAGUCCUAGCCUUAAACGAUGAACGCUUGGUGUCUGGGGUUUUAUAGUCCCCGGGUGCCGUCGCUAACGCUUUAAGCAUUCCGCCUGGGGAGUACGGUCGCAAGACUG